rnacentral:rRNA from 1 species
AUCGAACGCUGGCGGCAUGCCUUACACAUGCAAGUCGAACGGCAGCACGGGUGCUUGCACCUGGUGGCGAGUGGCGAACGGGUGAGUAAUACAUCGGAACAUGUCCUGUAGUGGGGGAUAGCCCGGCGAAAGCCGGAUUAAUACCGCAUACGAUCUACGGAUGAAAGCGGGGGACCUUCGGGCCUCGCGCUAUAGGGUUGGCCGAUGGCUGAUUAGCUAGUUGGUGGGGUAAAGGCCUACCAAGGCGACGAUCAGUAGCCGGUCUGAGAGGACGACCAGCCACACUGGGACUGAGACACGGCCCAGACUCCUACGGGAGGCAGCAGUGGGGAAUUUUGGACAAUGGGCGAAAGCCUGAUCCAGCAAUGCCGCGUGUGUGAAGAAGGCCUUCGGGUUGUAAAGCACUUUUGUCCGGAAAGAAAUCCUUGGCCCUAAUACGGUCGGGGGAUGACGGUACCGGAAGAAUAAGCACCGGCUAACUACGUG